rnacentral:rRNA from 1 species
CAAAAUGGGAGGUAAAUUUCUCCUAAGGCUAAAUAUUGGCGAGAGACCGAUAGCGAACAAGUACCGUGAGGGAAAGAUGAAAAGAACUUUGAAAAGAGAGUAAAAUAGUACGUGAAAUUGUUGAAAGGGAAACGAUUGAAGUCAGUCGUACCGACGAGAAAUCAGCUCUUUGAGUGCGAACUUGUGGGCGUGUGUGAGCUUUAAAACCUCGCUGUUUGCAACGUUUGUGCUUUUUGGGUGUACUUUUUCGUAUGGUAGGCCAACGUCAGUUUCGAUCAUCAUAAAAUGACUGGCGGAAUGUAGCUUCGAUUUCGGUUGAAGUGUUAUAGCCUCUGGUAGAUGUGGUGAUUGGGACUGAGGAUUGCAACGGAUACCCCUCGGGGCUACCCAUCUGAUCUCUGAAGGUUGCUCCGGUGCCGAAAGCGUGCUUACGGUCAUCGAAAGUGAUUUUCAAAAGGUUAGAGCGGGUUAAA